CGGACGGGUGAGUAAUGUCUGGGAAACUGCCCGAUGGAGGGGGAUAACUACUGGAAACGGUAGCUAAUACCGCAUAACGUCGCAAGACCAAAGAGGGGGACCUUCGGGCCUCUUGCCAUCGGAUGUGCCCAGAUGGGAUUAGCUAGUAGGUGGGGUAACGGCUCACCUAGGCGACGAUCCCUAGCUGGUCUGAGAGGAUGACCAGCCACACUGGAAUUGAGACACGGUCCAG
rnacentral:rRNA from 1 species